UAAUAGACAAGGGAAACGGUGAUGACGGUGACCCAGAACAGACUGGCCCUCUGGAAGUACAUCGCAUCUCCUGCUGCUUUCCCCAUCGCUGCAGCACUUCCUGGGUAGUGCCAGGCAGGCCCGCGCUGGGAGCUGGAGGAAGGUGUUAAAUCUGCAGUGAGGAAGUUACUGGAAAAGUAACUCAUGUUAGAAAAAAAGUUGUUGAAAAGGCAGAAUGGCUUGGGUCAAAGGACUAUUGGAAGGCUCAUUGCCAAGAAGAUCCUGAUUUAGGACUGUUUUGAAGCUGAGGCGGAAGGGCAGUCUCCGGGCGUUAUUCACAGACUCCUACUCUGGGCGAACUAGCAGAGGGUGACCGACCAGAGGACUCAGCUUUCGAAAAGAGUGACAUCAGCAUCCUGGUGGCAUAAAUCAUUUCCUUUUCCUCUCCUUUUUUAAAACAACUAAUUAGACAUCCAUAGCCAAACCAAACUGCCUCUGCACAUUGCACCAAGGGAUCCUGGAGGUUUCCAGUGCACCUGUGCAUCCAAAAAUAAACAAAACCUCAGAAAGGGCUGCAGAUCCAAAGAAGCUGUCAGAUCUGCCCUACUCCUGCUCAUCAGGCAGUUGGGGAAAAAAGAAUGUAACCUACAAAGGAAUCCCCUUUAGGCUAUCGGUGGAUUUCUUAGCAGAAAUUCUAGGUCAGGGGAGAGUGCGGUGACGUAUUGAAAAUGAACAUUUCUAGCCAAGAAUACUUUAUCUGGUAAAGUUAUCCUUCAGCUAUGAAGGAAGAAUAAAGGCUUUCCCAGGCAAAAGCUGAGGGAGUUCACCAGCACUAGACCUGCCUUGCAAGAAAUUCUGAAAGAAGUUCUGGAAGCUGAAAAAAAGAUACUAAUUAAUGACAUGGAAACAUAUGAAAGUACACAACACUCUGGUAAAGGUGAACUAUAGAUAGAAUUAAGAAAACUUAUUCUAUCUGAAAAUGGUGUCUUAAGUUAACUAUAGUAUAAAGGUUAAAGAAAAAAGUGUUAAUAACUACAGCUACUAUAAUUGUUAACAAAUAUACAGCAUAAAAAGAGGUAAAUUUUGACCUCAAAAGUAUAAAUGGGGAGGAGUAAAAGGGUGGAGACUUUAUAGACAAAUGAAGAUAAGUUGCUAUCAGCAUAAAAUGGGCUGUUAUCUAUGUUUUAUAUAAUCCUCUUGGUAACCAAAAGCAAAAAUUAAAGAACAGAUUCACAAAACACAGAAAACAAGGGAGGGCAGAGCAUACCACCGUAGAAAACCACCAAUGUACAAGUGUAGGCAGAAGCAGAUGGGAAAAGAAGCAAGAGAGAUAUGAAACAACCAGAAGAUAAAUAAGGUGGCAGUAGUUAAGUCCUUACAUAUUAAAAUCACUCUAAAUGUAAAUGGACUGAAUUCAACCAAAAGGCACAGACUUACUAGACGGAUGAGAAAGAAGGGAGAAACAGACAAUAAUACAAUACUAGUAGGGGACUUCUGUACUCCACUGUCAGCAAUGGGUAGAUCAUCCAGACAGAAAAUUAACAAAACAUUGGAAUUGAACCACACUUUAGACAUAGCAGAUGUAUACAGAAUAUUCCAUCAACAGCAUCAAAAUACAUCAUUUUCAAUUGUGCAUGGAACAUUCUCCGAGUUGAUCAUGAUAGGACAGGAUAUAAAACAAAUCUUAGUAAAUUUAAGAUUUAAAUUACACCAACUAUCUUUUCUGACCACAAUGGUUUGAAGCUAUAAAUCAACAAGAGGAAAGCUGGAAAAUCUGCAAAAUAUGUGGAAAGUAAACAACACCUUUCUGAACAAACAAAUCAAAGAAGAAAUCAAAAGGGAAAUAAACUGUCUCCAAACAAAUGACAAUGGAAACACACACUGAAUCAUAGAGGAUGCUGCAAAAUCAGCUCUGAAGGUUUAUAGAGAUAGUUAACAAAUAUUAAGCAAUUAGAAAGAUUAAAAUAAGCAACCUAAUUUUAUACCUCAAGGAAUUAGAAAAAGAACAAAGUAAGCUCAAAGUUAACAGAUAGAAGGAAAUAAUAAAGACCAGAGCAAAAGUAAAUAAAGACCAGAAGUACAAUAGAAAGGAUCAACAAAACUAAGAGCUGGUUUUUCAGAAAACAAAAUUGACAAACAUUUAGCUAGACUAAAUAAGAAAAACAGAAGACUCAAGUACAUUGAAUUAGAAAUGAAAGAGAAGACAUUACGACUGAUACUGUAACAACACAUAGGAUAAGAGACUGUGACAUAUAGCAUAAGAGACUGAAUGAUUACAUGGCAACAAAUUAGAUAACCUCAAAGAAAUGGAUAAAUUCCUAGAAACACAAAACCUACCAAGACUGAAUCAGGAAGAAACACACAAUUUUAACAGACCAAUAACAAGUACAGAGAUUGAAAGAGUGAUUACAAACCCCCAACACAGAAAACCCCGGAAGAAUGGCUUCACUGAUUAAUUCUACUGAACAUUUAACGAAGAAUUCAUACCAGUUCUUCUCAAACUCUGCCAAAUAAUUGAAGAGAAGGAAGUAAUUCCAAACACAUUCUACCAGGCCAGCAUUAUCCUGAUACCAAAGCCAGAUAAAAACAAUACAGGAAAAGAAAAUACAGACCAAUAUGCCUGAUGAAUAUAGAUGCAAAAAAAAGUUAGUAAACCAAAUUUAAGAGCACAUUAAAAGGAUUAUACACCUGACUAAGUGGGAUUUAUCCCUGGGAUGCAAGGCUGGUUUAACAUAUGCAGAUCAGUAAAUAUAAUACAUCACAUUGGUAGAACGAAAGGUAAAAAUUACAUGAUUGUCACAAUAGAUGAAGAAAAAGCAUUUGACAGAAUACAACAUCCUUUCAUGAUAAAAACCUUUACAAGGUCUGUGGGAUGCAGCAAAACAGUUCUAAGAGGGAAGUUCAUAGCGAUACAGGCCCUUCUCAAGAAACAAGAAAGAUCUCAAAUAAAUUCGGCCUAACCUACCACCUACAAGAAUUAGAAAAAAAAAGAACAAAGUCAGCAGAAGGAAAGAAAAGAUCGGGGGAAA